GAACCCCCAUUCCCGGAUCUUACCAUGCAAGUCGAACGGUGAACACGGAGCUUGCUCUGUGGGAUCAGUGGCGAACGGGUGAGUAACACGUGAGCAACCUGCCCCUGACUCUGGGAUAAGCGCUGGAAACGGCGUCUAAUACUGGAUAUGUGACGUGACCGCAUGGUCUGCGUCUGGAAAGAAUUUCGGUUGGGGAUGGGCUCGCGGCCUAUCAGCUUGUUGGUGAGGUAAUGGCUCACCAAGGCGUCGACGGGUAGCCGGCCUGAGAGGGUGACCGGCCACACUGGGACUGAGACACGGCCCAGACUCCUACGGGAGGCAGCAGUGGGGAAUAUUGCACAAUGGGCGCAAGCCUGAUGCAGCAACGCCGCGUGAGGGACGACGGCCUUCGGGUUGUAAACCUCUUUUAGCAGGGAAGAAGCGAAAGUGACGGUACCUGCAGAAAAAGCGCCGGCUAACUACGUGCCAGCAGCCGCGGUAAUACGUAGGGCGCAAGCGUUAUCCGGAAUUAUUGGGCGUAAAGAGCUCGUAGGCGGUUUGUCGCGUCUGCUGUGAAAUCCGGAGGCUCAACCUCCGGCCUGCAGUGGGUACGGGCAGACUAGAGUGCGGUAGGGGAGAUUGGAAUUCCUGGUGUAGCGGUGGAAUGCGCAGAUAUCAGGAGGAACACCGAUGGCGAAGGCAGAUCUCUGGGCCGUAACUGACGCUGAGGAGCGAAAGGGUGGGGAGCAAACAGGCUUAGAUACCCUGGUAGUCCACCCCGUAAACGUUGGGAACUAGUUGUGGGGUCCAUUCCACGGAUUCCGUGACGCAGCUAACGCAUUAAGUUCCCCGCCUGGGGAGUACGGCCGCAAGGCUAAAACUCAAAGGAAUUGACGGGG
rnacentral:rRNA from 1 species